rnacentral:rRNA from 1 species
UGGGGAAUAUUGGUCAAUGGGGGAAACCCUGAACCAGCAACGCCGCGUGAAGGAUGAAGGUUUUCGGAUUGUAAACUUCUGUCUUUGGGGAAGAUAAUGACGGUACCCAAGGAGGAAGCCACGGCUAACUACGUGCCAGCAGCCGCGGUAAUACGUAGGUGGCAAGCGUUGUCCGGAUUUACUGGGUGUAAAGGGUGCGUAGGCGGGCCUACAAGUCAGAUGUGAAAUGCCACGGCUUAACCGUGGAGCUGCAUUUGAAACUGUGGGUCUUGAGUGCAGGAGAGGUAGGCGGAAUUCCCAGUGUAGCGGUAAAAUGCGUAGAAAUUGGGAGGAACACCAGUGGCGAAGGCGGCCUACUGGACUGCAACUGACGCUGAGGCACGAAAGCGUGGGGAUCAAACA